UACGGAGGGUGCAAGCGUUGUCCGGAUUUAUUGGGUUUAAAGGGUGCGUAGGCGGCCCGUUAAGUCAGUGGUGAAAGCCUCCAGCUCAACUGGAGAACUGCCAUUGAUACUGACAGGCUUGAGUACAGACGAGGUAGGCGGAAUUGACGGUGUAGCGGUGAAAUGCAUAGAUAUCGUCAAGAACACCUAUAGCGAAGGCAGCUUACUGGGCUGUAACUGACGCUGAGGCACGAAAGUGUGGGGAUCAAACAGG
rnacentral:rRNA from 1 species